UACGUAGGUGGCAAGCGUUGUCCGGAAUUAUUGGGCGUAAAGCGCGCGCAGGCGGUCCUUUAAGUCUGAUGUGAAAGCCCACGGCUCAACCGUGGAGGGUCAUUGGAAACUGGGGGACUUGAGUGCAGGAGAGAAGAGUGGAAUUCCUGGUGGAGCGGUGAAAUGCGCAGAUAUCAGGAGGAACACCCGUAGCGAAGGCGGCACUCUGGGCCGAUUCUGACACUGAGGAGCGAAAGCGUGGGGAGCGAACAGG
rnacentral:rRNA from 1 species